rnacentral:rRNA from 1 species
GAUGAACGCUGGCGGCGUGCCUAAUACAUGCAAGUAGAACGCUGAAGCUUGGUGCUUGCACCGAGCGGAUGAGUUGCGAACGGGUGAGUAACGCGUAGGUAACCUACCUCUCGCGGGGGAUAACUAUGGAAACGAUAGCUAAUACCGCAUAAAAGUCGACAUUGCAUGAUGUUGACUUGAAAGGUGCAACUGCAUCACUAAGAGAUGGACCUGCGUUGUAUUAGCUAGUUGGUGAGGUAACGGCUCACCAAGGCGACGAUACAUAGCCGACCUGAGAGGGUGAUCGGCCACACUGGGACUGAGACACGGCCCAGACUCCUACGGGAGGCAGCAGUAGGGAAUCUUCGGCAAUGGACGGAAGUCUGACCGAGCAACGCCGCGUGAGUGAAGAAGGUUUUCGGAUCGUAAAGCUCUGUUGUAAGAGAAGAACGAGUGUGAGAGUGGAAAGUUCACACUGUGACGGUAACUUACCAGAAAGGGACGGCUAACUACGUGCCAGCAGCCGCGGUAAUACGUAGGUCCCGAGCGUUAUCCGGAUUUAUUGGGCGUAAAGCGAGCGCAGGCGGUUAGAUAAGUCUGAAGUUAAAGGCUGUGGCUUAACCAUAGUACGCUUUGGAAACUGUUUAACUUGAGUGCAGAAGGGGAGAGUGGAAUUCCAUGUGUAGCGGUGAAAUGCGUAGAUAUAUGGAGGAACACCGGUGGCGAAAGCGGCUCUCUGGUCUGUAACUGACGCUGAGGCUCGAAAGCGUGGGGAGCAAACAGG